UCCGGUGGUUAUUACCUUGAGGUCACACCUGUUCCCAUUCCGAACACAGAAGUUAAGCUCAAUGGUGCCGACAAUACUUAGCUGGUAACGGCUCGGGAAGAUAGGUUGCUGCCGGAU
rnacentral:rRNA from 1 species